UGCAGUCGAACGGUAACAUUUCUAGCUUGCUAGAAGAUGACGAGUGGCGGACGGGUGAGUAAUGCUUGGGAACUUGCCUUUGUGAGGGGGAUAACAGUUGGAAACGACUGCUAAUACCGCAUAAUGUCUUCGGACCAAACGGGGCUUCGGCUCCGGCGCAAAGAGAGGCCCAAGUGAGAUUAGCUAGUUGGUAAGGUAACGGCUUACCAAGGCGACGAUCUCUAGCUGUUCUGAGAGGAAGAUCAGCCACACUGGGACUGAGACACGGCCCAGACUCCUACGGGAGGCAGCAGUGGGGAAUAUUGCACAAUGGGGGAAACCCUGAUGCAGCAAUGCCGCGUGUGUGAAGAAGGCUUUAGGGUUGUAAAGCACUUUCAAUAGAGAAGAAAAGCUUAGGGUUAAUACCCCUAAGUAUUGACGUAACCUAUAGAAGAAGCACCGGCUAAAUCCGUGCCAGCAGCCGCGGUAAUACGGAUGGUGCGAGCGUUAAUCGGAAUUACUGGGCGUAAAGAGCACGUAGGCUGUUUUAUAAGUCGGAUGUGAGAUCCCCGGGCUUAACCUGGGAACUGCAUCCGAAACUAUUUAACUAGAGUAUGGGAGAGGUAAGUAGAAUUUCCGGUGUAGCGGUGAAAUGCGUAGAUAUCGGAAGGAAUACCAGUGGCGAAGGCGGCUUACUGGACCAAUACUGACGCUGAGGUGCGAAAGCGUGGGGAGCGAACAGGAUUA
rnacentral:rRNA from 1 species